rnacentral:rRNA from 1 species
GACGAACGCUGGCGGCGUGCUUAACACAUGCAAGUCGAACGGAAAGGCCCUGCUUUUGUGGGGUGCUCGAGUGGCGAACGGGUGAGUAACACGUGAGUAACCUGCCCCUGACUUUGGGAUAACUUCAGGAAACUGGGGCUAAUAUCGGAUAGGAGCUCCUGAUGCAUGGUGGGGGUUGGAAAGUUUCGGCGGUGGGGGAUGGACUCGCGGCUUAUCAGCUUGUUGGUGGGGUAGUGGCUUACCAAGGCUUUGACGGGUAGCCGGCCUGAGAGGGUGACCGGUCACCUUGGGCCUGCGGUACGGACCAGACUCCUACGGGCGGCAGCAGUGGGGAAUAUUGCGCAAUGGGCGGAAGCCUGAUGCAGCAACGCCGCGUGCGGGAUGACGGCCUACGGGUUGUAAACCGCUUUCGCCUGUGACGAAGCGUGAGUGACGGUAAUGGGUAAAGAAGCACCGGCUAACUACGUG